rnacentral:rRNA from 1 species
CCUACGGGAGGCAGCAGUGAGGAAUAUUGGUCAAUGGGCUUACGCCUGAACCAGCCAAGUCGCGUGAGGGAAGACUGCCCUAUGGGUUGUAAACCUCUUUUGUCAGGGAGCAAUUGGCGCUACGUGUAGCGUUAUCGAGAGCACCUGAAGUAAAAGCAUCGGCUAACUCCGUGCCAGCAGCCGCGGUAAUACGGAGGAUGCGCGCGUUAGCCGGAUUUAUUGGGUGUAAGGGGUGCGUAGGCUGGAUGCCAAGUCAGCGGUAAAAUCGCGGGGCUCCAGCGGGUGAAGCCGUUGUGACUGGGAGUUGCGGGAAUGCGGAUGACGUGGGAGGGAUGUGGGGUGUAGCGGGGAAAGGCAGAGAUAUCACACAGAAAAACGAUUGAGAAGGAAUCGCACGAAUCCGCGAUUGACGCUGAUGCACGAAAGCGUGGGUAUCAAACAGGCUUAGAGAGCCGUGUAGUC